AAAGAAACCAACAGGGAUUGCCCCAGUAACGGCGAGUGAAGCGGCAAAGCUAAUUUGAAAUCUGGCCCCAGGCCCGAGUUGUAAUUUGCAGAGGAUGCUUUUGGCGCGGUGCCUUCCGAGUUCCCUGGAACGGGACGCCAUAAGGGUGAGAGCCCCGUACGGUUGGACACCAAGCCUUUGUAAAGCUCCUUCGACGAGUCGAGUAGUUUGGGAAUGCUGCUCAAAAUGGGAGGUAUAUUUCUUCUAAAGCUAAAUAUUGGCCAGAGACCGAUAGCGCACAAGUAGAGUGAUCGAAAGAUGAAAAGCACUUUGAAAAGAGGGUUAAACAGCACGUGAAAUUGUUAAAAGGGAAGCGCUUAUGACCAGACUUGCGCCCGGUGAAUCACCCAGCUCUCGCGGCUGGGGCACUUUGCCGGCUCAGGCCAGCAUCAGCUCGCUGUCGGGGACAAAAGCUUCAGGAACGUGGCUCCUCUCGGGGAGUGUUAUAGCCCGUUGCACAAUACCCUUCGGCGGGCUAGUACGCGCUCCGCAUGGAUGCUGGCGUAAUGGUCAUCA
rnacentral:rRNA from 1 species